GCCACUCUGGUUGUUGUUGAUGU
rnacentral:siRNA from 1 species